rnacentral:rRNA from 1 species
GAUUGUAAACCCCGUUCAUGUGGGAGCGAAAUUAAAAAGAUAGUACCACAAGAGGAAGAGACGGCUAACUCUGUGCCAGCAGCCGCGGUAAUACAGAGGUCUCAAGCGUUGCUCGGAAUCAUUGGGCGUAAAGCGUGCGUAGGCUGUUUCGUAAGUCGUGUGUGAAAGGCAGGGGCUCAACCCCUGGAUUGCACAUGAUACUGCGAGACUAGAGUAAUGGAGGGGGAACCGGAAUUCUCGGUGUAGCAGUGAAAUGCGUAGAUAUCGAGAGGAACACUCGUGGCGAAGGCGGGUUCCUGGACAUUAACUGACGCUGAGGCACGAAGGCCAGGGGAGCGAAAGGGAUUAGAUACCCCUGUAGUCCUGGCAGUAAACGGUGCACGUUUGGUGUGUCGGGAAUCGACCCCCUGCGUGCCGGAGCUAACGCGUUAAGCGUGCCGCCUGGGGAGUA